rnacentral:rRNA from 1 species
CGCCUUCUGUAGAACUAAUAUAAAAGGUACUGCCUGCCCAGUGACACCCGUUUAACGGCCGCGGUAUAAUGACCGUGCAAAGGUAGCAUAAUCACAUGUCUCUUAAAUGGGGACCCGUAUGAAUGGCAAGACGAAAGCCCAACUGUCUCCUCAAACUAAUCAAUGAAAUUGAUAUUUUCGUGCAAAAGCGGAAAUAAUUAUAUAAGACGAGAAGACCCUGUGGAGCUUAAAACCUAAAUUAAUAAAGUAACAUAAUCCAAGGCUUUCGGUUGGGGCGACCACGGAGAACAAUAAAUCCUCCGAGAUAUAUAUAUUUAGAAAGACAUUUCAAAAUAAUAAUACAAUUGAUAUAAUUGACCCAAUAAUUGAUCAACGAACCAAGUUACCCCAGGGAUAACAGCGCAAUCCUCUCAUAGAGUUCCUAUCGACGAGCGGGUUUACGACCUCGAUGUUGGAUCAGGAUCACCAAAUGGCGCAGCAGCUAUUAAAGGUUCGUUUGUUCAACGAUUAAAGUCCU